rnacentral:rRNA from 1 species
UCCGUAGGUGAACCUGCGGAGGGAUCAUUACCGAGUUUACAACUCCCAAACCCCUGUGAACAUACCACUUGUUGCCUCGGCGGAUCAGCCCGCUCCCGGUAAAACGGGACGGCCCGCCAGAGGACCCCUAAACUCUGUUUCUAUAUGUAACUUUGAGUAAAACCAUAAAUAAAUCAAAACUUUCAACAACGGAUCUCUUGGUUCUGGCAUCGAUGAAGAACGCAGCAAAAUGCGAUAAGUAAUGUGAAUUGCAGAAUUCAGUGAAUCAUCGAAUCUUUGAACGCACAUUGCGCCCGCCAGUAUUCUGGCGGGCAUGCCUGUUCGAGCGUCAUUUCAACCCUCAAGCACAGCUGGGUGUUGGGACUAGCGUUAAUUCGCGUUCCUCAAAUUGAUUGGCGGUCACGUCGAGCUUCCAUAGCGUAGUAGUAAAACCCUCGUUACUGGUAAUCGUCGCGGCCACGCCGUUAAACCCCAACUUCUGAAUGUUGACCUCGGAUCAGGUAGGAAUACCCGCUGAACUUAAGCAUAUCAAUAAGCGGAGGA